rnacentral:ncRNA from 1 species
UGGAACCCAGUGAACCCACUGCCUGGUGCACAUGCCAGGGACCCCCAACGGGAAGCGAAGACCCCGUGGAGUUUUACUACAGCCUGUCGUUGUGAUUCGAAUAGGGUUGUGCAGCAUAGGUGGGAGCCUGCGAAGCCUCGUCGCUAGACAAGGUGGAGGCGCCGGUGAGAUACCACCCUUCUGUAUUUGGGUCACUCACCGUUUUCGGACGGAACAUCGGUAGGUAGGUAGUUUGGCUGGGGCGGCACGCCCCUGAAAAGAUAUCAGGGGCGCCCUAAGGCUGGCUCAGAUGGGUCAGAAAUCCAUCGUAGAGUGCAAGGGCAAAAGCCAGCUUGACUGGAUUGUUGCCAGUAAGCGAUCCAGAGGUGAAAGCCUGGCCUAGCGAGACACAAUGUCCUCCUUAGUGGGGGCUUGUGGUGACAGAAAAACUACCCCGGGGAUAACAGGGUGGUAUCGGGCAAGAGUACAUAUCGACCCCGAUGCUUGCUACCUAGGAGAACAUGAGCUGGGUUUAGAUCGUCGUGAGACAGAUUGGAUGCUAUCUGUUGGGGGUGCGGGGUGUUUGAGGGAAAGGUAGCCUCAGUACGAAAGGAACAGGUCGCCGUGGCCUCUGGUGGAUCGGUUGUCUGACAAGGCACUGCCGAGUAGCUACGCCAUAGUGGAUAAAGGCUGAAUGCAUCUAAGCACAGCAACGCCGACAAGGGACGAAGGCUCCCAUAGAAGAUGGGUUUGAUAGGCUGGGGGUGUACGCUGCGAGCUUCGGCGAGCAGUUCAGCCCACCAGUACUAACCGCCUGAGGUGCUUAGCUU